AUUGAACGCUGGCGGCAGGCCUAACACAUGCAAGUCGAGCGGAUGAAGGGAGCUUGCUCCUGGAUUCAGCGGCGGACGGGCGAGUAAUGCCUAGGAAUCUGCCUGGUAGUGGGGGAUAACGUCCGGAAAUGGGCGCUAAUACCGCAUACGUCCUGAGGGAGAAAGUGGGGGAUCUUCGGACCUCACGCUAUCAGAUGAGCCUAGGUCGGAUUAGCUAGUUGGUGGGGUAAGGCCUACCAAGGCGACGAUCCGUAACUGGUCUGAGAGGAUGAUCAGUCACACUGGAACUGAGACACGGUCCAGACUCCUACGGGAGGCAGCAGUGGGGAAUAUUGGACAAUGGGCGAAAGCCUGAUCCAGCCAUGCCGCGUGUGUGAAGAAGGUCUUCGGAUUGUAAAGCACUUUAAGUUGGGAGGAAGGGCAGUAAGUUAAUACCUUGCUGUUUUGACGUUACCAACAGAAUAAGCACCGGCUAACUUCGUG
rnacentral:rRNA from 1 species